rnacentral:rRNA from 1 species
AGAUUGAACGCUGGCGGCAUGCUUUACACAUGCAGGUCGAACGGCAGCACGGGGGGCAACCCUGGUGGCGAGUGGCGAACGGGUGAGUAACACGUGACUAACCUACCCUCGAGUGGGGAAUAACCUAGGAAACCUGGGCUAAUACCGCAUAACACUUACGAGUCAAAGCAGCAAUGCGCUGAAAGAGGGGGUCGCGGCCGAUUAGCUAGUUGGCGGGGUAAUGGCCCACCAAGGCGAUGAUCGGUAGCUGGUCUGAGAGGAUGAUCAGCCACACUGGGACUGAGACACGGCCCAGACUCCUACGGGAGGCAGC